rnacentral:rRNA from 1 species
AUUGAACGCUGGCGGCAGGCCUAACACAUGCAAGUCGAGCGGGGGUAGCAAUACCCUAGCGGCGAACGGGUGAGGAAUGCUUGGGAAUCUGCCUGGUAGUGGGGGGAUAACGUUCCGAAAGGAACGCUAAUACCGCAUACGUCCUACGGGAGAAAGGGGGGGAUCUUCGGACCUCUCGCUAUCAGAUGAGCCCAAGCCGGAUUAGCUAGUUGGUGGGGUAAAGGCCCACCAAGGCGACGAUCCGUAGCUGGUCUGAGAGGAUGAUCAGCCACACUGGAACUGAGACACGGUCCAGACUCCUACGGGAGGCAGCAGUGGGGAAUAUUGGACAAUGGGCGAAAGCCUGAUCCAGCCAUGCCGCGUGUGUGAAGAAGGCCUCGGUUGUAAGCGACUUUAAGUCGGGGAGGGAAGGGUUACGGCGUACUUAAUACGUAG